AAAACAAAAACAAAACACCCCAAUUUUAUUUGAUUUAUCUACAAUCCAGAAAAAAAGUUAAACCUGUCAAUUUUUGUUGGGUGUGGUAGUGUCUCUAUAAAUCUCAGCAAUUGGGAGGCUGAGGCAGGAGAUCUUGAGUUUGAGGCCAGCCUGGGCUACAAAACAAGUUCAAGUCCAGCUUGAGGUACAUAGUAAGCUCCUGUCUCCGUUUGUUACUGCUACAGUUUUCCCCCAGAGUACAAGUAUAUCCAUUACUAGCAGAGAAGGGCUUGCCAUGAAAGUGCUUGUGAGAAGUAUUAAGUUCUAGCACCUCCUUCCAGAGGAAGGGACAAGUCAAGUGUGGACAGUGUUAUGUGGGGAGAAGUUAUUAAGGUAAGUGAUGCACUCCGUAUGGCUCUCCUGCAGCUUCUUGUUCACCUCUAUUUGAUUCAAGCUCCAACCUUUACCGAAACGCUGACCAAGUCUUCAUUCCUUGUGUGACAGCCUUCUGAAUGGCUGAAGUUACUAUAUUUUCAGAUUAAGAUACUCCUUGAUCAUUUACUUUGCGUUUGUUCAAUUAACAGAAAAAGCAAAGAAAAAUGUUGAUGUUUCAAAGAACAUCUUCAAAACAUCGAAAACUUACAGAACGGAAGAAAACACUCAUGAGUGACAACGCCUCCGAGACUGGCAGGAUGUGCCCAAAAGAUCAUGUUCUGGAUUCCAGAUCACCUUGCCCUUCUAAGAACCCUCGCGGAGCUAGGCAUGGAGCUGCAUCUCUGUAGUCCCACCUACUGAAGAGCUGAGGUGGCAUGGCCUGGGCAACUUAUUACCUGUUCUGAAAAGAACAGCAAACAAAACAAAGAGUCCUCACAGUGGAAGGGCCUCUAAGAAACAGUACUUAAGAAUAUAAAAGCAGCCAGAGAUCCAGGAGGA